UACGUAAGGUUCGAGCGUUGUCCGGAAUCAUUGGGCGUAAAGGGUACGUAGGCGGAUAAGCAAGUUAGAAGUGAAAUCCUAUAGCUCAACUAUAGUAAGCUUUUGAAACUGCUCAUCUUGAGGUAUGGAAGGGAAGGUGGAAUUCCUAGUGUAGCGGUGAAAUGCGCAGAUAUUAGGAAGAAUACCAGUGGCGAAGGCGACUUUCUGGCAAUCAUCAGACGCUGAGGUACGAAAGCGUGGGGAGCAAACAGG
rnacentral:rRNA from 1 species